GCCCUUGUAGCUCAGUUGGUUAGAGCGCGGCUUUAGUAAGGCCGAGGUCCCUGGUUCGAAUCCGGGUAGGGGCA